GCGGCGGACGGGUGAGUAACACGUGGGCAACCUGCCCUGCAGACUGGGAUAACUUCGGGAAACCGGAGCUAAUACCGGAUAACACCGAAAACCGCAUGGUUUUCGGUUGAAAGGCGGCUUUUAGCUGUCACUGCAGGAUGGGCCCGCGGCGCAUUAGCUAGUUGGUGAGGUAACGGCUCACCAAGGCGACGAUGCGUAGCCGACCUGAGAGGGUGACCGGCCACACUGGGACUGAGACACGGCCCAGACUCCUACGGGAGGCAGCAGUAGGGAAUCUUCCGCAAUGGACGAAAGUCUGACGGAGCAACGCCGCGUGAGCGAAGAAGGUCUUCGGAUCGUAAAGCUCUGUUGUCAGGGAAGAACAAGUGCCGUUCGAACAGGGCGGUACCUUGACGGUACCUGACGAGGAAGCCACGGCUAACUACCUGCCAGCAGCCGCGGUAAUAC
rnacentral:rRNA from 1 species